rnacentral:rRNA from 1 species
GACGAACGCUGGCGGCGUGCUUAACACAUGCAAGUCGAGCGGUAAGGCCCUUUCGGGGGUACGACGAGCGGCGAACGGGUGAGUAACACGUGGGUGACCUGCCCUUAGCUCUGGGAUAAGCCUGGGAAACUGGGUCUAAUACCGGAUAUGACUCCAUGACGCAUGUUGUGGGGUGGAAAGCCUUGUGCGGCUAGGGAUGGGCCCGCGGCCUAUCAGCUUGUUGGUGGGGUGAUGGCCUACCAAGGCGACGACGGGUAGCCGGCCUGAGAGGGCGACCGGCCACACUGGGACUGAGACACGGCCCAGACUCCUACGGGAGGCAGCAGUGGGGAAUAUUGCGCAAUGGACGAAAGUCUGACGCAGCGACGCCGCGUGUGGGAUGACGGUCUUCGGAUUGUAAACCAACUGUCGGGAGGGACGAAUACGCCGCAAGGCGGGUGACGGUACCUCCAAAGGAAGCACCGGCUAACUCCGUGACAGCAGCCGCCGCAGUAAU